GAUGAACGCUGGCGGCGCGCCUAACACAUGCAAGUCGAACGAUUAAAGCACCUUCGGGUGUGUAUAAAGUGGCGAACGGCUGAGUAACACGUGGGCAACCUGCCCCUUUCAUUGGGAUAGCCACGGGAAACCGUGGAUAAUACCGAAUACUUCGAGACUUCCGCAUGGAAGACUCGAGAAAGCUCCGGCGGAGAGGGAUGGGCCUGCGGCCUGUUAGCUUGUUGGUGGGGUAACGGCCUACCAAGGCAAUGAUGGGUAGCUGGGUUGAGAGACCGACCAGCCAGAUUGGGACUGAGACACGGCCCAGACUCCUACGGGAGGCAGCAGUGGGGAAUCUUGCACAAUGGGCGAAAGCCUGAUGCAGCGACGCCGCGUGCGGGAUGAAGGCCUUCGGGUUGUAAACCGCUUUCAGCAGGGACGAGGCGAAAGUGACGGUACCUGCAGAAGAAGCCCCGGCUAACUACGUG
rnacentral:rRNA from 1 species